UUGUUUUCUUUAAAAUAAUUUACUUAAAAAUAAAUUAUAUUGAAUUUUAGAAUUGACUGACCCUUAGCUAAAAGACUAAGGUAUCUAAAGAAAAAAUUUCAUUAACAUCCACUACAUACCUUAUUUCUGAAAAAGAAAAAUGCACGGAAAAAAAAAGUUCGCGGCGAAGCGUAAAAUGGUUUUCGCAGUACAACGUCAGCAUUUAAGUGCAGACAAAAUUAAAAUUUUGAACAGACUAUCUAGUGAUAUUAAUUAACACUUCGGCUAUCCUGAAAAACUCUACUUUUUAAGUGGCGCCAAAUAAUACGCAAAAGAGCGACUUACCCCUAAGCCAACUAGCCCCGGUCUCCCCUACUCAUAUUCAAGUGACAGCAAGAUAAUAAACUAGCCCCCCAAGUCAAAGUCCGUGUGGAAACUACUAAACAGUAUUCCACUUAACUUUUGCUUCAGGCGGGGAGGUGCGGGAAUUAGGGAGAAGACAGGUUUGAUUUAAACACCACCUUUAACACUUUUUUUAUUAUCUUCAUCGCCAAAAAACUGGCACUUGCUUUCCGAAGUAAGUAUGGGCCGGCUGGCAACCAGUCAUCUGUUCACCUCAAAUUUUCUUUUCCGUCAGGGUAGACAACUGAAUUGUGACAAACCCGAGAAUACAAAGUAAAACAAAGGUCCAGAACACUUGCAGUUAUUGGUUCGAAGCAAAAGCGGAAGAUUACUUUACUUCUUUCAACCGUCUUCAGCUAUAGAUAAGACUUCAUUUUAUCUCAUUUGUACCGAGCUACUAGAAUGGUGUUGGCAUUUUCAACAAAAAUGCCUGUUAUUUCCAUGAACAAAAUUAUCGAAACUAUUCAACAACUCUCCGAAUUACACAAUUGAUUGGAGAAACACAGAGUUUAUAAUGGCAAUGAGGGAAUACGAGUUCAAUCAUAUUAGAAUUAAACAAAAGAUAUUAAGGGUAGAACACAUGAAAUGUAAAGCUUACGGGGUCAAACCACUUGAUUGUCAUUGUGAUGGUAACAUGAAAUGUUACAGAUGUGAAUCGGCUCAUAGCCAUGGAGCCAAAGAGUUGUUGGAAAAUGUGGCCAUAGCCAAAAAUUAUGAAGUAGAAGCUUUUGUUGCGGAAGCAAACAAAGCUUUUCAUGAGACUAGGAAACGCGGCGUGCGGUGGUUCCACUUUUAAAGCUGGGCAAUCUGAUUCCCAUUCCCAUUCAAAGAAAAUGGAUGAAACGGCAAUUUUGUGUAUGUGAUGUCGUCACGGUUUAGUACUCCGUGCAGCAAACAUUCAUCGAGGAGAAACAUACCGAGUAAUAGUUUUCCUUCAGUGGUGGGCAUGGCAAUUCGGCAUUUAAGUUUUUUGCUAUGAUGUUAUCUGCCGUUACUGGCCUUUCGCAAACAGAUUAGGAACCAUCGACCCUAAAAUUGCUUGCCUUACCCAAAAGCUUUUUAAGAUUUCAUGGGAAAGCGCAUACUUGGUGAUGCCAGGUAUUAUGUUUCGGUCAUUUUCGGAAAGGCGCUGCUGCGACUGUUGGAGAGGAAAUUGAGCAGGGUUUCAGUAAAAUCUCCAGAUACAAUGUUUCUAAAAAACACAUGACUAGCUCUAGAAAGCAUUUUUAAAUUUAGUUGCGAUUUUACGUUAGCCUUUUACAUUUUUUACUUUCAGACAGAAACGAUUGCCUAAGUAAAAGUUUUAUUUAUGAAAACGAAAGUAAAGAGAAUAAAAUGGUUUUUACUUUGCCUAAACGUCUUAAGACGGUGAAUAAAAUGUAGAGUAGCUUAAAUGUUUUCUCCCAACUCCCACUAAAUUACGCAACUAGAAUUGAAUCCAAAUAGAAUUGGAGGGUAUUGCACUGGCAAUAUGUAACAGAAUUCCCAUUCUACAAGCAUGGUUUCUUCAUUUUCUCUCCCCAAAAUCCCUCGUCACACAGACUCCACUAGAAUUCACCAUAAAACUGCAAGUAGCAACAGAAUAAACCUAUUUCCAAUCGACUCCCCAAAAGACACCUGCGCCACACGAAGACACCUUCUUACAUCAGCCGACUGAAACAGGAGCACCCUCGUCUAGCCGAAAACUUCCAGAACAUCUUCCUACCUGUUUGUACUUCUAGAAUAUUCUUGCACCUGCACCACACACGCCAGAAUAUUCAUACUCUUCUUAGAUUAAGAUCACAAUGUAUAAAUAACCCUUAGAUUUAGAAAUAUUUUUACUUAUUAUUCUCUUAAACCCUAGUUAACUGACCUAUCCCAACUGUCACCAUAGUUCGGGGCUGGCUUUAACACAGGACUAUUAUACUAAUUUAUACCUCAAACUGACGCUUUCUCCAGUAAAUCGUACGGCCUAAAACUAUAAUUCUUCUCAACCUCCCGUGACUCAUCCUUUCGGAUGGGUACCCCUUAACCUCCCUAAUAUUCGACUUAAAUGGGUUGACAGAACUGUCAACUCGAGUCGGGGGUUGCUUUUGUACGGAGCCAUCUUUCCCUACGGUUUUCCUUAUUCGGGUAACGGCAACAUCUUUUCCAUAUAAAAGACCGUGACUGACUCUCGCAAUACAUUUUCUUUUUAGUUUUCUUUCCGGUUCCAUCUCGGUUCUUUUCGAGCUCUGUGACCUAACAGCUCUGUUUAAAGUACCAGUUUAGUUCAAUUAACUUAAUUCGUUGAAUCGGGUAUUACCUCUCACAUUGUUUAACCGUUCCCAAUUGGUAUGUCACACCUAACUUAACUUAUAAUUGUAGACUUAGACUUGGUAACCAAUACAUUUGCAUUGUGGAUUA